CUUCACUCUCACAUCCUCAUUGGUGCUGAAACAUCAAACAACUGCCAAGAUGAUGACUAAACCACUGCUCCUCCUGGCUGCUCUGAUGCUCUGCUGCUGCAUCGCCUCUCUGCAAGCUCUUCCUAAGGAGAGGUGUCUCUGCAUACGGAGGACCGAUACUCCCAUGCCUGGUCGAGUCAUUAGGAGAAUUGAGGUGAUUCCUAUUUCAGGAUACUGUCGUCGGGCUGAAAUCAUAGUCACCAGGAGGGACGGCUCUAAAGUUUGUGUCAACCCCAAGGCGGACUGGAUCAACGUCCUGCUCAGUAAUUUGAGAAAGAAGCGGUAACAAAGGAAGGGCUUCCUCUUGUGUUGGUCAUCAGUUAUCAAUAGGAUAAUGCAAAGACGUGAACGACGUCUAGACCACUACGUCACCCACCUAUUAAUCAACUGACUUCUGAUUUUUGAAAUGGCUUCAUUUUAAUGUAUCAAGCUGUGAGUAGGAGGGCUGAGCUUUAAAAACUAACUUUGUAAUUCAAAUUUGAUAUAUUGAACACCUUAAGUAGACAGUUUUCUUCUUCUUCCUUUCUGGUGUUUCCCUUUUGGAAAAAUGUUAUUGUCAAAAGCCACAAGUCUGUUCUGUGAAGUGUUUAUUACAAAAUAAAUACGGAAUGCUUUCCUGUAAAUGUGACAUAAUGUGAAACAAUGUGAAACAAAUGCAUCGAUGAAAUUUGCGAUGGUGCUGUAACCUUUGACAUGUUUGUGUUUUGUGUUGUAUCCAUCAUCACUUGUUUUCUCAUAAUAAAUAAAAUACGCUGACAAGACUCU